GACGAACGCUGGCGGCGUGCUUAACACAUGCAAGUCGAACGGUCAACGAGGGAGCUUGCUCCCCCCGGAUCAGUGGCGGACGGGUGAGUAACACGUGGGCAAUCUGCCCAGAAGACUGGGAUAAGCGCGGGAAACGAGGGCUAAUACCGGAUAAGACGCGGAAGGGCAUGGUUCCAGAGUGGAAAGACGUUUGGUUCGGGAUGAGCGAGCGGUCUAGCAGGUUGUUGGUAAGGUAAAGGCUAACGAAGUAGACGACGGGUAGCCGGCCGGAGAGGGUGACCGGCCACACUGGGACUGAGGCACGGCCCAGACUCCUACGGGCGGCAGCAGUGGGGAAUAUUGCACAAUGGGCGCAAGCCUGAUGCAGCAACGCCGCGUGCGUGACGACGGCCUUCGGGUUGUAAACCUCUUUUAGCAUGGAAGAAGCCAAAUUGACGGUACCUGCAGAAAAAGCACCGGCUAACUACGUG
rnacentral:rRNA from 1 species